GAGCACAUGAUCUUGUGCAGGUUUGCUGACCAGACAGCUGUCCAGCUUCCCCCUGAGCGGCGCUUCAUUGGUAAGUGCUGUAUGGGCCUGGUAGACUUGGACCGCAGCUUGGCCGCAGAUACUCAUGGGUACUCGGUGAGAGUGAUGACCAUGGAGCCUGAGAGCUGCUCUCCAAAGAACAACAUGAUCGUUGGGGUCCCCGCUGCCAAUGACAAAGGAGUUGAUAAACAGCUUUAAUGUAGGACCUAGAAUGUAGCCCUGAGGAACACCACCCUCACAACCUGUAGAAUCCUUUAUAUAGGAAUAAAUGGCUACUUUGUAAUGACUGUAGAUUAUGGGGACCUGCUGAGUCCUAAAAAUUGGAUGAAGAUAGUCUCUUUUAAUAUUUUUUUGUAUUAUUAAAUUUUUACCUUUUUUUUUUUUUUUUUUUUUUUUUUUUUUUUUUUGCUACAGUAUAUUUGCAGUCACAACCUCUUUCAUAUGAACAUCAUAAUAAAGUGAAUUUCAUUAAUUUUAAGACACAGGGUUGUACAGGUUUAAUGUAGGGCCUAGAAUGUAGCCCUGAGGAACACCACCCUCACAACCUGUAGAAUUCUUUAUAUAUGAAUAAAUGGUGACACUUUGAUGACUGUAGUUUAUGGGCUACAUAAGUUUUUUAAGCUUUAGUUUUUUAUAUUAGUUUUAUUAUCUUGUAGGAAAGGUUUUCCUUUUAUUGUGAACUGCUAGCAAUUUCUUUUAUUUACUUACUUAUUAUUUUUUUUAAUGCUAAGUCUCUUUCAUAUGAACUUUAUACUAUAGUGAAUUUCAUGAAUUUUAAGCAGAUAUUUGAAUGUGUAAUCUGACCCAUGGUUCAGUAUCAAGGUUGCUUUGCUUGCUGUGUUGUUUAUUUGUUUGUUGUCUGCAGAAGCCAGAUCUCCAGCACACAGAGAGCAGAGCUCCACACAGGGAAAAAGUGCAUUCAGGAGCUGCAGAAAUUGGCCAUUGCUUCAGAUGCUGUUUGAAAAUUAGGCCUAUUGGAUUCUGUAAUGCCAUCCAGCAUAUUCUGCUCUGCUAUUAUCUGCUAUUAUGAGCGAAACAAAGGGAAGUGUCUCGAAAGAGCCUGUCUCAUUGCAGUUAUUACCGAUGUAAAAUUAUUCAUUAUAAUCUGACGCUCUCUCUUAGCAGAAAGCCGGGAUGCAUUCUUUAAUUUGGGUCUGCGGAGGUAUUUGAUUAAAACCGCUGGGAAUGAAUAUCGCCAGACAUUUAUCAUGCCCUCCGCACGGCGGCCUUGGGGAGGGAGGAGGAUUAUUUCGGAAGCGGCCCGUCGUACGCGUGUCUAAUGCAUCCUCUGUCAUGAAUAUUUGAUGAAUGCUCGGAUGAUGUAAAGGUCACCGCGCUCUGCUGGACCACAGUGAGUGUGCCGACCUGCCUCUGGACUAUAACGCGCUGUGAUAUAUGGACUCUCUCAGUCCACUCUCCUUUUAUUUACUCUCCUCCUCCUGCGUCUCGGGGCCGGAUUGUUAUUGAGCGCACACACAUUCCCACCCCCCCGAUUUACCGUGGUGUCACACUUUGGAGAUGGAGAGGGAAAACUGCUCUUCCACUGUGGGGGAAGA
rnacentral:lncRNA from 1 species